UAAAAACAACCGCCAUUUUAUUUGUUCACAAUUAUUUUUGUGGGCCAGAAUUUUGGAUUCGGAAUACUGAGGGUGGCCUGUUUCCGCUCUGUGACGUCUGGGAGCAGCUGCACCGUCUUGAGUGGCUGGGAACUGGCUGGAAUGGCUUGACUCAGUCAUAUGCCUGGAGCCUCAGUUAUGGCUGUUGCCUGGAUUCCUCAGCUUUGCUUGGUGUGGGCUCUCCAAGAGGCUGGCUUAGACUUCGUCACAGUAUGAUGUCUUAGGGUGAUUUAGCAUCUCACAUGGUAGCUGGCUUCCUAUAGGCCAUUCCAAGAGGAUAACCCGCAAUGUGCAAGCAUUUAGUAAGCCUCUGCUUGUGGCAAGCUUGCUGAUGUUCCAUUGGCCAAAUCAAGUCUCAUGACCAAACCCAGCUCCAUGUGGGAGGCCCUACAGAAAGGCAUGAGUGCUGGAAGGCAUGGAUUCAUUGGGGCCACUGAUAUCUACAGCAUACCCAGAAAAUAAUACCGUUAUUUAAAAGAUAAAUUUAAAUAUCCAUUUAUAAAUUUUUAAAUUUACCAUUAUAAAAAUGAUAUUAUUUAUCCUUGGUCGCCUAGUGGCUAGAAAAAAAAAAUGGUAUUAUUUACUAUUCGUUUUCUGUUGUGAAAGACCAAAUAGGUAUAUGUGAAACUAUGGUACAAGUUGCUUCAUGUCCAUGAAAGCUAUGGUUAGAAAUAUGUUAUUUUAUCCCAAAUAAAUGGCAUGCUCUAUUAUUUCACACAAAUUAAACUUUUAAAAAUCUCUAAGCUAGACCAAGUGUGAUGGCUCACUUCCAAUCCCAGCACUUUGGGAGGCCAAGAUCUUCCAUUUACAAUCAUAGUUGAUGUAUGAUUUGGUAAUGUACAUCAUAACAUAACGAAUAAUUUUUCAUCCAAGGACCUAAAAUAUCCUUAAAGUCUUAUUUAAUUUUCACUCUAAAAGAGCAGAAUGAGUUGGUGCUAAAAUAGAGAAAAAAAUCAUUUUUAGAUCUGCUUAAGAGACUACAAUACCUAGUAACGUAAAGUUCUCCUAGUAAAUUGAAAUAGAAAAAGAGAAAGUACCAAAAACAAAUAUGAAUCCAUUAUUGACCCAAAUAACAACAAGUCACCACAUACAAAUACUGCACAAAGAAAACUUAGUGACACUGGUUAUUUUUGAGUCUCUUUGAAAGAGUAAUGAUAAAUAUUAAUUUUACACCAGACAGUUAGUGUAUUUUAGUUAAACCAAUAGUAACUUUUGCUAGGGUGUGGUUCCUUUCCUUCUUUUUUUUUUUUUGCCUAAUUUCAAAUCGUUAGGGGCUGGUUUUCUAUUCUUUGGCAUUAAAGAUCAGAAACACCAAUUGUAGCUUUAAAGAGAGGAUGAAUCCAAUUUUAACAGAUGCUCAGUUCAGAAAAUAUCAAAAGCAACGCUUUACAAAAGAGUAUUAAACACAGAGACAAAAACUAUAUAGGACAUUGCCAAUGUAUCAGGUGACAAUGGGACUAAAUCACACUCAUUUUUGGUUUAACAGCUGUUAAAGAAGUCGAGACUGAGGUCUAGACGCAGCUGCUCCAAUCCACAGUGCUCCUCUGCACUGGCCUCAGAACAGUGGCCCACAUUCCUAGAAUGAGAAAAUGGCAUCUUCUUCAGAGGACAGAGAGGUGUGGAUUGUGGAAAGCCUGAUGCCCAGGCUGCCUGGCUACAGGGUGACAAUUCUGCCCAGUGUCUGGCUGCUGUGAACGUGCCUGAUGUUGAGACUUCUCUGGAUCUUCCAUGGACAAUGUUCUGAGAACCCCUUGUUAGGGUGAGACCUCGAGGCGCUGUCUUGCCUCAUGAUAUUAAAAAAAGACAUGAUGCAGCU